AUCCCUGUAGCGCAAUGAACAGCGCGUUGGUCCUCUAAUCUAAAGAUCGUGGGCUCGAAUCCCAUCUAGGAUG